GGAAUAAAAGUCGUAACAAGGUUUCCGUAGGUGAACCUGCGGAAGGAUCAUUAUUGUAUAACCGAGGUGCGAGGGCUGUCGCUGACCCGAAAGGUCGUGCACGCCCGAGUGCCCUCACACACAUCCAUCUCACCCCUAUGUGCACCACCGCGUGGGUCCCCCUUUGGCUUGUUCGGAGGGGGGCUUACGUUUUCACACAAACUUUGUAUGCAGUGUAGAAUGUAUUUUUUGUUCUUGCGAUCACGCAAUCAAUACAACUUUCAACAACGGAUCUCUUGGCUCUC
rnacentral:misc_RNA from 1 species